ACACUCUCUCCACCAGGCCUGACCAAAGGUCUGGCUAGGCUGAUGGUUACGAAAGAGAGGGAGAAAGAGAAGAGACUUAGGGGACCCCUCCCCCGCAAGCAAUCCUCCACGGGGAAGGCUGGCCGUGGGAAGCUGUCCCUACCCAGUGCAGACUCGAGUCUGGCUUGAGAGCCCUGGCCCACCUCUGGACAGGGUCCUGAUCCAAGGCUGGCGCUUCAUCUCAGGGCAGGGGCAAGGUGGGGGGACCCUGCCUGUCUGCCUGGAAGACACCCACAUGGCUUCCUUCGAUUCGUCCUGCAGAUCUCCCUGGCAUCACUUUCUGAGACACCGUACUCAACCCCCUCCAACAGGGAAAGCCCCCGCGCUAUGUCCUGACUCCCCCAGCUGCGCCUGGCUCCCCCACCUGUGCCUGGCUCCUCCAGAGACACCUGUUCCAGCCCAGUGUGCGGUGUGCUCAUUGUGCCAUCUCCUUGGGUGGAGUGAUGGCUCCAUGAGGGCAGGCAGGUUGUCUACUCUGUUCACUGUUUAAAGCAGGGCCCUGCCCGAAGGAGGUGCGCAAUACCUUCCGGGCAAAUAAAUGAAUGAAUGGAUGAACUAAAGGAAUUGGGAGGGGGAGUAGGAAGAGCACACUUAAAGCUCAGGCAGGUGCCGGGCGUGGUGGCUCACGCCUGUAAUCCCAGCAUUU
rnacentral:lncRNA from 1 species